rnacentral:lncRNA from 1 species
CACCAUUCGGGAUCCGGUCGGCAGCCCUGAGCCAGGACAGGCAACUCUCCAAGGCCCAAUGCCCCCAGCCUGGAAGGCAAAUUACUUUGGAGCCUGUUCCUGACAGAUAUGACCAGGGGUGGAUCCGGAGCAGGUGCAGUGGCACAGCUGGACCCCAUUUGGAUUGGGCUGCACCAGAGGACUUUUUUUUAAAGUCCCCAAAGCAGAUGUUGUAUUGCAGCCACUGGGGGACAUGAAGACAUCUGGAAGCAGAAGCCAUUCCAUGAGUAUGGUCUAAGAGUGAAUGCCUGUACUUCUCUGAUGCACUUAACUUAUGAUGGUUUUGCAUUGUAAUAAUUUUGGUGUCAUCACUCCAAACACCAGAAUCAUGAGGUCAUUAAAAUAAUGGUGGGUCCUUUUUAUUUGCCUCCUUGCUCCUGUUUGGGUAUGCUUGAGUCAUGCUG